CAAGUACUCCCUCCGUCCGAAAAUACUUGUCAUUGAAAUGAAUGUAUCUAGAUGUACUUUUAAUUCUAGAUACAUCCAUUUUCAUCCAUUUAUGCGACAAGUAUUUCCGGACGGAGGGAGUACGAG
rfam:Triticum aestivum genome assembly, contig: Triticum_aestivum_CS42_TGACv1_scaffold_404170_5BL